rnacentral:rRNA from 1 species
AUGCCUACGGGAGGCAGCAGUGAGGAAUAUUGGUCAAUGGGCGGGAGCCUGAACCAGCCAAGCCGCGUGAGGGAAGAAGGUACAGCGUAUCGUAAACCUCUUUUGUCAGGGAACAAAGGCGGGGACUAGUCCCCGGAUGAGGGUACCUGAAGAAAAAGCAUCGGCUAACUCCGUGCCAGCAGCCGCGGUAAUACGUAGGUGGCAAGCGUUAUCCGGAUUUAUUGGGCGUAAAGGGAACGCAGGCGGUCUUUUAAGUCUGAUGUGAAAGCCUUCGGCUUAACCGGAGUAGUGCAUUGGAAACUGGG